rnacentral:rRNA from 1 species
GAUGAACGCUGGCGGCGUGCCUAAUACAUGCAAGUCGAACGGGGAGUACUAAUUUCGGGUUUUUUACUCCUAGUGGCGAACGGGUGAGUAACGCGUUGGUGACCUGCCCCGAAGCGGGGGAUAACAGUUCGAAAGGACUGCUAAUACCCCAUGUGGUCGUACAGGUUAGAGGCUGAACGACUAAAGGAGCAAUCCACUUCGGGAGGGGCCUGCGUCCCAUCAGCUAGUUGGUAAGGUAACGGCCUACCAAGGCGAUGACGGGUAGGGGACCUGAGAGGGUCGGUCCCCCACACUGGCACUGAAACACGGGCCAGACACCUACGGGUGGCAGCAGUAGGGAAUAUUGCACAAUGGGCGAAAGCCUGAUGCAGCAACGCCGCGUGCGCGAAGAAGGCCUUCGGGUGGUAAAGCGCUUUUCUGGAGGAAGAGGAAGGACGGUACUCCAGGAAUAAGGAUCGGCUAACUACGUG